GAAGAAAUACAUGAAAACACUAUGGGGUAAAGUGGGCUAGAUGUAGUAUAGUAGCGGAUUGAUGAUUAGACGUGGUUGAGAGGGGAUAACAUACAGAAAGAGAGUAUGAUUAUUUGAGGAAAACUAAUAUGGUAUGGAAGUAAACAUGGUAUGGAAUGUGAUGUGUCAUGUCUCUUCAAUUUGUGAGUCACUUAUUGAAUGAAUACAUGGAUAUAAUGGGACAUGGACAAAUGGUUUCUAUUUAUAUUGUUGAGUGUGGAUAAAUACGGAGAGAGGAUCCCACUCUUAGAGGCAAAGCAUGUGUAAUAAAGUGAAAACUGAUGAUGGGAUCUGUGUACAUAGGCUAAUGACUAUGAUCCACAGGAUUGGUGACAUCAAUUAGAUGUAAAAUGAUAUACAAAAUGAGGUGGUGGGUGGAAUAUGAUGGAGUUGGUUCAUAUUAUUAAGUGUGGAUAUACAUAGAAAGAUGUCAUCAAUGUUGUAUAUUGAAGUCAUUGUCAUGUAUCCUUACUUAUCUUCUUCUAGCAAUGAUGACACUUAGAAAAUAAGAUAUGAGGUGGGGAUGGAUAAGAAUAGGUACUAUUGGUCAUGAUAGGUUGGUGACAAUAUAAAUGAAGCAAGAUGGCUAGGGUUCAAGAUAAAGGCAUCAAAAGAAUAAAUUGGUGAUGUGAUGUGGUGGGACACAAGCACAUGAUCAUACCUCACGAUUAAGUGGAUGUGCCUAUUUAAGGAAAAAUGAAAUAUAAAAGGGAUGUGAUAUGACAUGUCUCUAACUGUUGACUGUGACUCAUCAAUAAACAUGUCCAUGAGAAGCAAGGGAGGGGGCCGGCAUACGGUUUAUAUUCAUGUUGCUGUAUGUGUAUAAAAAAGGGAAAAUACAAGUGUUAGAGCUAAAAACACGUCAAAUGAAGUAAAUCGGUGAAGGAUGUGUUGACACGGGCUAGCUAAUGGCUGUGAUUAAAAAAAGUAGGAAUGCAUAUGUAGAGAGAGCGUGACAAUAAUUGGUGCAAAAUCAUGUACAAAAUGAAGUAGUAAGCAGUAACUUACAUGAGCUUGUACACCUGAGACUCG
rnacentral:lncRNA from 1 species